GAUCCUGGCUCAGGACGAACGCUGGCGGCGCGCCUAACACAUGCAAGUCGAACGAGAGAGAGGAAGCUUGCUUCCUCAAUCGAGUGGCGAACGGGCGAGUAACGCGUGAGGAACCUGCCUCAAAGAGGGGGACCACAGUUGGAAACGACUGCUAAUACCGCAUAAGCCCACGGGUCGGCAUCGACCAGAGGGAAAAGGAGCAAUCCGCUUUGAGAUGGCCUCGCGUCCGAUUAGCUAGUUGG
rnacentral:rRNA from 1 species